AUUGAACGCUGGCGGCAGGCCUAACACAUGCAAGUCGAACGAGUGGCGGACGGGUGAGUAAUGUCUGGGAACUGCCCGAUGGAGGGGGAUAACUACUGGAAACGGUAGCUAAUACCGCAUACUAUCGGAUAACCCAUAUGGGAUUAGCUAGUUGGUGAGGUAAUGGCUCACCAAGGCGACGAUCCCUAGCUGGUCUGAGAGGAUGAUCAGCCACACUGGGACUGAGACACGGCCCAGACUCCUACGGAGGCAGCAGUGGGGAAUAUUGCACAAUGGGCGCAAGCCUGAUGCAGCCAUGCCGCGUGUAUGAAGAAGGCCCUAGGGUUGUAAAGUUCUUUCGGUAGCGAGGCGUUAACUACAGAAGAAGCACCGGCUAACUCCGUGCCAGCAGCCGCGGUAAUUC
rnacentral:rRNA from 1 species